CCUACGGGAGGCAGCAGUGAGGAAUAUUGGUCAAUGGACGAGAGUCUGAACCAGCCAAGUAGCGUGAGGGAUGACUGCCCUAUGGGUUGUAAACUUCUUUUAUAUGGGAGUAAAAUGUUCCACGUGUGGGAUUUUGUAUGUACUUUAUGAAUAAGGAUCGGCUAACUCCGUGCCAGCAGCCGCGGUAAUACGGAGGCUCCGAGCGUUAUCCGGAUUUAUUGGGUUUAAAGGGAGCGGAGAUAGGAUGUUAAGUCAGUUGUGAAAGUGUGCGGCUUAACCGUAAAAGUGCAAUUGAUACUGGCAGUCUUGAGUGCAGGAGAGGUAGGCGGAAUUCGUGGUGUAGCGGUGAAAUGCUUAGAUAUCACGAAGAACUCCGAUUGCGAAGGCAGCUUACUAGACCGCAACUGACAUUGAUGCUCGAAAGUGUGGGUAUCAAACAGGAUUAGAUACCCUAGUAGUC
rnacentral:rRNA from 1 species